rnacentral:misc_RNA from 1 species
CAGAGUUAUCUAACUCCCAAACCCAUGUGAACUUACCAUUGUUGCCUCGGCAGUCUGGGCGAACCUACCCGGGAACUAGCUACCCUGUAGCUACCCUGGAACGGCUUACCCUGUAACGACUGCCGGUGGACUUCUAAACUCUUGUUAUUUUUAAGUAAUCUGAGCGUCUUAUUUUAAUAAGUCA